AUUCAGCUAACGAGUCCCAAAUGGAAGGAAAUGCGCAUCCUGGAU
rfam:Schistosoma mattheei strain Denwood, Zambia genome assembly, scaffold: SMTD_scaffold0010883